rnacentral:rRNA from 1 species
UACAGAGGGUGCGAGCGUUAAUCGGAAUUACUGGGCGUAAAGCGUGCGUAGACGGUUAUUUAAGUCGGAUGUGAAAGCCCCGGGCUCAACCUGGGAAUUGCAUUCGAGACUGAAUAGCUAGGGUGCGGUAGAGGGAAGCGGAAUUUCCGGUGUAGCGGUGAAAUGCGUAGAUAUCGGGAGGAACAUCAGUGGCGAAGGCGGCUGCCUGGCCCAAUACUGACACUCAGGUGCGACAGCGUGGGGAGCAAACAGG